GACGAACGCUGGCGGCGUGCCUAAUACAUGCAAGUAGAACGCUGAAGGAGGAGCUUGCUUCUCUGGAUGAGUUGCGAACGGGUGAGUAACGCGUAGGUAACCUGCCUGGUAGCGGGGGAUAACUAUUGGAAACGAUAGCUAAUACCGCAUAAUAGUAGAUGUUGCAUGACAUUUGCUUAAAAGGUGCAAUUGCAUCACUACCAGAUGGACCUGCGUUGUAUUAGCUAGUUGGUGGGGUAACGGCUCACCAAGGCGACGAUACAUAGCCGACCUGAGAGGGUGAUCGGCCACACUGGGACUGAGACACGGCCCAGACUCCUACGGGAGGCAGCAGUAGGGAAUCUUCGGCAAUAGACGGAAGUCUGGCCGAGCAACGCCGCGUGAGUGAAGAAGGUUUUCGGAUCGUAAAGCUCUGUUGUAAGAGAAGAACGAGUGUGAGAGUGGAAAGUUCACACUGUGACGGUAUCUUACCAGAAAGGGACGGCUAACUACGUG
rnacentral:rRNA from 1 species